rnacentral:rRNA from 1 species
AUUGAACGCUGGCGGCAGGCCUAACACAUGCAAGUCGAGCGGUAGCACAGAGAGCUUGCUCUCGGGUGACGAGCGGCGGACGGGUGAGUAAUGUCUGGGAAACUGCCUGAUGGAGGGGGGUAACUACUGGAAACGGUAGCUAAUACCGCAUAACGUCGCAAGACCAAAGUGGGGGACCUUCGGGCCUCAUGCCAUCAGAUGUGCCCAGAUGGGAUUAGGUGGUAGGUGGGGUAACGGCUCACCUAGGCGACGAUCCCUAGCUGGUCUGAGAGGAUGACCAGCCACACUGGAACUGAGACACGGUCCAGACUCCUACGGGAGGCAGCAGUGGGGAAUAUUGCACAAUGGGCGCAAGCCUGAUGCAGCCAUGCCGCGUGUGUGAAGAAGGCCUUCGGGUUGUAAAGCACUUUCAGCGGGGAGGAAGGCAUUAAGGUUAAUAACCUUAGUGAUUGACGUUACCCGCAGAAGAAGCACCGGCUAACUCCGUGCCAGCCGCCGCCGUAA